GUAUUAUACAUAAAACUGACAUGGUCUUGUGCAUAAAGUGUCUGUCUGCAUCUUUUGUGCACUAGUCUAGCCUCACACUAAAAAUAUAUAUCAAGUUAUAAUGAUUUUACUAAACCAAAAAAAACAAGGCAGCAAUGACCACAGCAAAAGAAAGCCUGGCCUAAUUAACCACAUUUGAGCCCCAGACUUACUUGUUACGGGUUCUCCUCUGCUUACUCAAAAGUAUAACACCAGAAUAUUGCUCUCUGUUUAUAGCACAUUCUCUCUGCCUAUUUCACUGGCCAAACUACCUCCUUCACUAUUACCCAAAGGUUUUCUUAACUUACCUCCAGACUGAAAGGGGUCACUACAAUCUUAAUGGCACAUUUCUUUUGAAAGACACAGGUAGCUACCGCAUCUCUUUAGCAAAUAAAAAGAUCACACACAUUAUGAAGGAUGCCUGUGGGUGAAAAGCCUACCUCAACAUCUGAGUUAUUAUGGUGCCCAGAGAACCCUAUGGAUCAUUACAGGUGUUUAUUGCCCAAAGUACCUUAUGGACUUUCUUAUCAUCACAGGUGUUCCAAACCGUAGUGAUACUGCUUUAUGCACACAGGGCUCAAAGAGCUCUUCCAGCUAGCAUUGUGCAAUCACCCUUCAUUUUAUGCUGCCUACUGUAACUUCCCUUGUUCCACCUCUGAACUUCCUCUGCCCUGUCUCCAAAACUCAUCACUAAUUUAUAU